rnacentral:rRNA from 1 species
AGCAGCCGCGGUAAUUCCAGCUCCAAUAGCGUAUAUUAAAGUUGUUGCAGUUAAAAAGCUCGUAGUUGAAUUUUGGAUUCUUCCAAUUGGUCCAUCUUUUAGAUGAGUACUGGUUGUGUGGGGUCUAUCCGCCUGGUGAUACGUAAUGUCCUUUAUUGGAUGUUGCGGGUAGUCAGGACCUUUACCUUGAAAAAUUAGAGUGUUUAAAGCAGGCUUAUGCCGGAAUACAUUAGCAUGGAAUAAUAGAAUAGGACGAAGUUGUUUUAUUUGUUGGUUUCUAGGACAACCGUAAUGGUUAAUAGGGAUAGUUGGGGGCAUUAGUAUUCAAUUGUCAGAGGUGAAAUUCUUGGAUUUAUUGAAGACUAACUACUGCGAAAGCAUUUGCCAAGGAUGUUUUCAUUAAUCAAGAACGAAAGUUAGGGGAUCGAAGACGAUCAGAUACCGUCGUAGUCUUAACCAUAAACUAUGCCGAUUAGGGAUCGGGCGAUGUUGUUUCCAUGACUCG